GACGAACGCUGGCGGCGUGCUUAACACAUGCAAGUCGAACGGAAAGGCCCUGCUUCUGUGGGGUGCUCGAGUGACGAACGGGUGAGUAACACGUGAGUAACCUGCCCUUGACUUUGGGAUAACUUCAGGAAACUGGGGCUAAUACCGGAUAGGAGCUCCUGCUGCAUGGUGGGGGUUGGAAAGUUUCGGCGGUUGGGGAUGGACUCGCGGCUUAUCAGCUUGUUGGUGGGGUAGUGGCUUACCAAGGCUUUGACGGGUAGCCGGCCUGAGAGGGUGACCGGCCACAUUGGGACUGAGAUACGGCCCAGACUCCUACGGGAGGCAGCAGUGGGGAAUAUUGCACAAUGGGCGGAAGCCUGAUGCAGCAACGCCGCGUGCGGGAUGACGGCCUUCGGGUUGUAAACCGCUUUCGCCUGUGACGAAGCGUGAGUGACGGUAAUGGGUAAAGAAGCACCGGCUAACUACGUG
rnacentral:rRNA from 1 species